GACGAACGCUGGCGGCGUGCUUAACACAUGCAAGUCGAACGGAAAGGCCCUGCUUUUGUGGGGUGCUCGAGUGGCGAACGGGUGAGUAACACGUGAGUAACCUGCCCUUGACUUUGGGAUAACUUCAGGAAACUGGGGCUAAUACCGGAUAGGAGCUCCUGCUCCAUGGUGGGGGUUGGAAAGUUUCGGCGGUUGGGGAUGGACUCGCGGCUUAUCAGCUUUUUGGUGGGGUAGUGGCUUACCAAGGCUUUGACGGGUAGCCGGCCUGAGAGGGUGACCGGCCACAUUGGGACUGAGAUACGGCCCAGACUCCUACGGGAGGCAGCAGUGGGGAAUAUUGCACAAUGGGCGGAAGCCUGAUGCAGCAACGCCGCGUGCGGGAUGACGGCCUUCGGGUGGUAAACCGCUUUCGCCUGUGACGAAGCGUGAGUGACGGUAAUGGGUAAAGAAGCACCGGCUAACUACGUG
rnacentral:rRNA from 1 species